rnacentral:lncRNA from 1 species
UGUUGUAUUUAAGAAUGAACCUACUCGAGUCUCGGGUGCUAAAGUGGUUGUCUCUUGGAAUCUCAGAAAAAUCAAAUUUGGGUUAAAACACUUGACUUGUGCAGAAUAAAGGGCAAGAUUACUUUCAAAUCAAUAUAUUGAGAAGUCCAUUCUCUUAUUCUGAGGAUUCUACUUGAUUACAGUUCAAGAUUGAAUGUUUCUUUGAACUGGUGAAUGAGGAGAGACAUAUUUGAAAGCUAUGAAUUCAUUUACUUAUGGAGUAAACUGGCCUACUGACCUGAAUCAUAUUGAUGGAAAGAAAGUGAAGGGACUUGAAGGGAUAUAAGUCAUUAUUGGAAUAAUAUAACCAACUUCUUGGUGAUUUAAUAAAGGUUUAUUUGAGAUGCUAAAUGUAAUAAGCCGGAAAAAUUUAUAGGAUAUUCCUUCAAUAAUCCUUUUUUUCAAGGAUAAUCGUGGAAUAUUUCCUUGGGUCUGAGAUGGGCACUUUAUUCAUCUUUAGAGAGGUAAUUAAAUGUCUUUGAAUUUAUAUUUAUGUAGUACAUAAAAAAAUGAAAAAUAAAAGCUCUGAAUUACAUUUAGUGAUGACUUAGAUGACGAGACUGAGAUUUUUGGUGGAGUAGUCUAUAUAUUGACGUUCUGUCGAUUUAGAUGAUGCCAUCAAAAUCGCUUGUUUGAUUGACAAACGAGGCAUUUGUCUGAAAUUAAUUUUGAGCUUUUUCAAAUUUUUACUUUUAUUUUAAGUUUUACUUUAGUUCUUUUUCUCAUUACUAAAGAAUUUUUUUUUCUUCUUUUUAUAGGAGAAUUUAUUUUAUACAGAAGACAUCGUUUCCUAUUAAUUUAGAAGACUUGAAGAGAUAAAAGAUAUAAAAUAAUGCUCAAGAUAGAAGUACCUUUCUAUGUAGGAAUAUUUAAGAGGAUAUGGAGAAAGGAAACUUCAAGAUAAUCAGGAUGAUCAUAAGGAGUCUGAUGUUAGGAAGUUAAUUAAGGCUACAAAGAUGAAAGAGAAAAGAAUUCGGAAGGCAUUUAGAGAGGUCUGUCUCAAGGAAAAAAAAGUUACAAGCAAGGAGCUAGAAUUGAAGUCAAAUGGUGGAAGAGGAAUCUGAGAAGGGAAUAAAUAAAAGAGGCCGGUCUUACAUAUCACUAGGAACUUAAAUAAGAUAGGAUGAAGCUUGCUCCUCGAGAUGCAUAACGGGCAAGGAUUACAUACAAAAAUGGCUCGAAAAAUAAAAGUGAAGAAGCAUGCAAGGAUUUUUCUUAUAUAUUCCUCUUCUACUCAGG